rnacentral:rRNA from 1 species
UGGGGAAUCUUGCACAAUGGGCGCAAGCCUGAUGCAGCAACGCCGCGUGCGGGAAGACGGCCCUAGGGUUGUAAACCGCUUUCAGGAGGGAAGAAAAUGACGGUACCUCCAGAAGAAGGUGCGGCCAACUACGUGCCAGCAGCCGCGUGACACGUAGGCACCAAGCGUUAUCCGGAUUUAUUGGGCGUAAAGAGCUCGUAGGCGGUUCGGUAAGUCGGGUGUGAAAAUCCAAGGCUCAACCUUGGGACGCCACCCGAUACUGCUGUGACUCGAGUGCAGUAGGGGGAGCAGGGAAUUCCUGGUGUAGCGGUGAAAUGCGCAGAUAUCAGGAGGAACACCAGUGGCGAAGGCGCUGCUCUGGGCUGUAACUGACGCUGAGGAGCGAAAGCAUGGGUAGCAAAACAGGAUUAGAUACCCUGGUAGUCCAUGCCGUAAACGUUGGGCACUAGGUGUGGGUCUCAACCAACGAGAUCCGCGCCGUCGCUAACGCAUUAAGUGCCCCGCCUGGGG